AUCCGUUAUCACGAAUCUCAUAAAGAGAUAGCAACCUGCAACAACAAGCAAGGUGCUAAAACGAUAAGCCAAAUCCUUUGGAAAAAAUGUUGCCAUU
rnacentral:ncRNA from 2 species